AUGUCCAAUCUCCAAGGCUGGGCUGAACUCCCGGAUGCCCUGCUUCAUUCCAUUGUUGAUCUGUUGGGAUCCUUCCCUGACUUUCUUGCCUUCGCUUCCACCUGCCACUCUAGGCAUCUGUCCAAAUCUACAUUCUCAACACGCUUCCCGCCUCUCCUCCUUCAACAUGAGGUCCCUUUGUGCUCUCCUCGUCCUCCUUUUAGCAAGAGCCUCAUACUUGAACGUCCUUGUUAUGUUACUGAUCUAGCCAACAAAGACACCUACAUGUGCUGUCAGAUUCCCCUAUUUGCUCAUUAUGCUGAUAGUGAUGCCCCAUCGAGUCCUCUGGAUAGUUUUUAUUUCAGGGGUGCUUCCUAAGGCCAUCUCAUCUUGUCCAACAGACAAUCUUGUCUUGCCGUUGUUGUUUUCACAGGUAUUAGUGUCUCACCUCCACAAUUGCCGGUCGACGAAUACGCUUAGUCCUAUUAUGCCGCCCUCACUGCUCCUGUAUCACCACCCAACUCGCACCUCCUGGUCACCACUGGAUGCCAGAAUUUCUUUUGGCGUGUUGGUAGCCACACUUGGUUGGAAUGUUCUCCUCAAAUUGCAAUGCUCAAGCAGAUAGUGGUCUUCAAAGGCCAGGUCUUCGGCAUGGAUUACGAGCACAUGCUCUUUAUCAUACACUUGGUACCCCAGAUUCGCAUACAGAAUCUAGCAGUUGAUUGGGAAGGAAGCAUGACCAGCAAAUGGCAUCUUUCCCAGAAGUUGCUUGUGCGGUGCGGGGAUAUGAUUCUCCUGGUCAGUUUUCAUCGAUCUGUUCCAUGAACAGGGAAUACGUUUGAAACCUCCCGCCUCGACUUAUCGAGUGAACCUACAAAUUGGGUGAAGCUGGAAAUGAUAAACUGGGCAGUAUGUAUCAGCACUGACGAGAAAAGCUAGCCAUUGUGUUGCAUGAACCCAGAGAGGUGGGGAGGGAGGAGCAACUGCGCAUACUGCUAUUUCCAUGAUUCUACAAGUUGUAUCACAUUUGAGUUGGGUGAGCCGUAGAAGGGACAUGCCCCCAAUCCAAGCGACUUUAUUCUCAUAAGCUGUGGCAGUACGAUGCAACCUAUGUGGGUUGUGCCCAGUAUAUAUGUUCUCUUCGUGUCUGAUGGUUGA
rnacentral:rRNA from 1 species